rnacentral:rRNA from 1 species
GACAGAGGGUGCAAACGUUGCUCGGAAUCACUGGGCGUAAAGGGCGUGUAGGCGGGAAGGAAAGUCAGAUGUGAAAUCCCCAGGCUCAACCUGGGAACUGCAUUUGAAACUCCCUUUCUUGAGUACCGGAGAGGAAAGUGGAAUUCCUGGUGUAGAGGUGAAAUUCGUAGAUAUCAGGAGGAACACCAGCGGCGAAGGCGGCGCUCUGGGCCGGAACUGACGCUGAGGAGCGAAAGCGUGGGGAGCAAACAGG